rnacentral:rRNA from 1 species
UACAGAGGUCUCGAGCGUUGUUCGGAUUCAUUGGGCGUAAAGGGUGCGUAGGCGGCGCGGUAAGUCGGGUGUGAAAUCUCGGAGCUUAACUCCGAAACUGCAUUCGAUACUGCCGUGCUUGAGGACUGGAGAGGAGACUGGAAUUUACGGUGUAGCGGUGAAAUGCGUAGAUAUCAGGAGGAACACCGGUGGCGAAGGCGGGUCUCUGGGCAACAACUGACGCUGAGGAGCGAAAGCGUGGGGAGCGAACAGG